rnacentral:rRNA from 1 species
GAUGAACGCUGGCGGCGUGCCUAAUACAUGCAAGUCGAGCGAACAGACGAGGAGCUUGCUCCUCUGACGUUAGCGGCGGACGGGUGAGUAACACGUGGAUAACCUACCUAUAAGACUGGGAUAACUUCGGGAAACCGGAGCUAAUACCGGAUAAUAUAUUGCACCGCAUGGUUCAAUAGUGAAAGACGGUUUUGCUGUCACUUAUAGAUGGAUCCGCGCCGCAUUAGCUAGUUGGUAAGGUAACGGCUUACCAAGGCGACGAUGCGUAGCCGACCUGAGAGGGUGAUCGGCCACACUGGAACUGAGACACGGUCCAGACUCCUACGGGAGGCAGCAGUAGGGAAUCUUCCGCAAUGGGCGAAAGCCUGACGGAGCAACGCCGCGUGAGUGAUGAAGGUCUUCGGAUCGUAAAACUCUGUUAUUAGGGAAGAACAAAUGUGUAAGUAACUAUGCACGUCUUGACGGUACCUAAGCAGAAAGCCACGGCUAACUACGU